rnacentral:rRNA from 1 species
UAGGGAAUCUUCCGCAAUGGACGAAAGUCUGACGGAGCGACGCCGCGUGAGUGAUGAAGGUUUUCGGAUCGUAAAGCUCUGUUGUUAGGGAAGAACAAGUACCGUUCGAACAGGGCGGUACCUUGACGGUACCUAACCAGAAAGCCACGGCUAACUACGUGCCAGCAGCCGCGGUAAUACGUAGGUGGCAAGUGUUGUCCGGAAUUAUUGGGCGUAAAGGGCUCGCGGGCGGUUUCUUAAGUCUGAUGUGAAAGCCCACGGCUAAACCGGGGAGGGUCAUUGGAAACUGGGGAACUUGAGUGCAGAAGAGGAGAGUGGAAUUCCACGUGUAGCGGUGAAAUGCGUAGAGAUGUGGAGGAACACCAGUGGCGAAGGCGACUCUCUGGUCUGUAACUGACGCUGAGGAGCGAAAGCGUUGGGAGCUAACA